GAGGUGAGGUGAAGUGAAGUGAAGUGAGGUGAAGUGAGGUGAAGUGAAGUGAAGUGAGGUGAAGUGAGGUGAAGUGAGGUGAAGUGAGGUGAAGUGAGGUGAGGUGAGGUGAAGUGAGGUGAAGUGAAGUGAAGUGAGGUGAGGUGAAGUGAGGUGAAGUGAAGUGAGGUGAAGUGAAGUGAGGUGAGGUGAGGUGAAGUGAAGUGAAGUGAAGUGAAGUGAGGUGAAGUGAGGUGAAGUGAGGUGAAGUGAAGUGAGGUGAAGUGAGGUGAGGUGAAGUGAGGUGAGGUGAAGUGAAGUGAAGUGAGAUGAAGUGAGGUGAAGUGAAGUGAAGUGAGGUGAAGUGAAGUGAGAUGAAGUGAAGUGAGGUGAAGUGAGGUGAAGUGAAGUGAGGUGAGGUGAAGUGAAGUGAGGUGAAGUGAGGUGAGGUGAAGUGAAGUGAGGUGAGGUGAGGUGAAGUGAGGUGAGGUGAGGUGAGGUGAAGUGAGGUGAAGUGAAGUGAGGUGAGGUGAGGUGAAGUGAGGUGAAGUGAAGUGAGAUGAAGUGAAGUGAGGUGAGGUGAGGUGAAGUGAGGUGAAGUGAGGUGAAGUGAAGUGAAGUGAGGUGAAGUGAGGUGAAGUGAGGUGAAGUGAAGUGAGGUGAAGUGAGGUGAGGUGAAGUGAGGUGAGGUGAAGUGAAGUGAGAUGAAGUGAAGUGAAGUGAAGUGAGAUGAAGUGAAGUGAGGUGAGGUGAGGUGAAGUGAAGUGAAGUGAGGUGAAGUGAAGUGAAGUGAGGUGAAGUGAGGUGAAGUGAGGUGAGGUGAGGUGAGGUGAAGUGAGGGGAAGUGAGGUGAGGUGAGGUGAAGUGAAGUGAAGUGAGGUGAAGUGAAGUGAAGUGAGGUGAAGUGAGGUGAAGUGAAGUCAAGUGAAGUGAGGUGAAGUGAGGUGAAGUGAGGUGAAGUGAGGUGAAGUGAGGUGAAGUGAGGCGAUAAAAUUGAAUGAAGUGUUUACGCUCCCACGCGGCUCCGAUGACAUCGCCGACCGCACAACAUGAGUGACAA